GCGCUCACAGAAGGAAUCAAACUGCUGGCAAAUAGCAAGCCAGUUUGCUCUGGCAUUUCCCUUGUGUGCUAAGUACACAAUAGCUGCUGCAGCAGAUGCCCCCGCGGUCACCAGAGCUAGCAUUGCCUUCACAAGAAUCACAGGAUGAAAGAAGAAACUUAGUGUUCAAAACUGAUAUGCAGUAAACUGGAGAAAGUGAUAAUCUCACCGCAUCGAAAAAGAUCAAGAUGAGCCUGCUAUACUUAGCCCUGCUCCUAAUGACGUGCACAAUUGACAGUGGGAGUGAAAGGAUGAGAUAGGCAGAGACAAUAGAGUUUGCCACCACAAAAAACCUGCCAACAAGAGAUAAAAAUGAUCGAACCAUCAGAUGUCCAUAAGUUAUCUAAAGAAGCAAUGCUAUCAACUAUUGAGGAGGCUUCUGCAAGUACGUGAGAGUUGGGAGAUCGCUGUAUUGCGCCUUGAACCGGAUGAACUGGGUGAAGAAAGGCAGCGUCUGAUUGGUGGUGCCCAUGGCAAUGGCACUCGCGAGGGUGCCAAUGAUCGCGACAAAGCGAAGUAUAACAUCGAGUAUAGACACUCCUUUACUGACCCCCCUGCUCAGGGGUGCCUUUGAGGUCUCACCAUGCUCCUCAGACCCUUCCAUGGUAAUGUGCGUGGAUUAGGUCCGUUGAUGCCAGAGCAGGUGGCCGUGCAGGAUUUGUGUUGAUACGUACUUCCAGGAGCAUUUCGGCUGGUAACUACUCCAAUUGCCCCAAGUAGACCAAUUGCAUUGUUUCAUGCAGGGUUUGUGGCCUCUUGGCCCUCUUUACACCAGUGGACUACUGAACUUCCACUGAACACGGGACUGGCUUGUGUCAUGGCUAUGCGUCUUGUUAUGCAGGAGGCUUCAACUGAACGUUCGUUAGCUCGUUCCAACUACAAAAAAGGCAUUGAUACACACUGUUGCAAGUCAUUUCAUAAGAUGCAGGGAUAUCUGCUAUUCUGUCUGGAGCUUCUCUUUCGUUGUGAAGCAAGUUGGGUUGGUGUAUUAUUAUUUCCUGCCCCUGCCAACUCAAAGAAACAUAUAUGGCUACACCUACACACUCAGCUGUAAUGCAUAGCGCUACCACUUCCCUUUUAAGCUGA